rnacentral:rRNA from 1 species
AUUGAACGCUGGCGGCAGGCUUAACACAUGCAAGUCGAGCGGGGGAGGUUGCUUCGGUAACUGACCUAGCGGCGGACGGGUGAGUAAUGCUUAGGAAUCUGCCUAUUAGUGGGGGACAACAUUCCGAAAGGGAUGCUAAUACCGCAUACGCCCUACGGGGGAAAGCAGGGGAUCUUCGGACCUUGCGCUAAUAGAUGAGCCUAAGUCGGAUUAGCUAGUUGGUGGGGUAAAGGCCUACCAAGGCGACGAUCUGUAGCGGGUCUGAGAGGAUGAGCCGCAACACUGGGACUGAGACACGGCCCAGACUCCUACGGGAGGCAGCAGUGGGGAAUAUUGGACAAUGGGCGGAAGCCUGAUCCAGCCAUGCCGCGUGUGUGAAGAAGGCCUUCUGGUUGUAAAGCACUUUAAGCGAGGAGGAGGCUCUUAAGGUUAAUACCCUUGAUGAGUGGACGUUACUCGCAGAAUAAGCACCGGCUAACUCUGUGCCAGCAGCCGCAGUAAUAC